rnacentral:tRNA from 1 species
UCCCUGAUCAGCUCAAUCUGUAGAGCGCUCGGUUAUUCAUCGAGAGGAAGCAGGUUCGAGUUCUGUUCGGGGAG